AACGAACGCUGGCGGCAUGCCUAACACAUGCCAGUCGAACGAAACCUUCGGGUCUAGUGGCGCACGGGUGCGUAACGCGUGGGAACCUGCCCUUAGGUUCGGAAUAACUCCCCGAAAGGGGUGCUAAUACCGGAUAAUGUCUUCGGACCAAAGAUUUAUCGCCUUUGGAUGGGCCCGCGUUGGAUUAGCUAGUUGGUAGGGUAAAAGCCUACCACGGCGACGAUCCAUAGCUGGUCUGAGAGGAUGAUCAGCGACACUGGGACUGAGACACGGCCCAGACUCCUACGGGAGGCAGCAGAGGGGAAUAGUGGACAACGGGCGAAAGCCUGAUCCAGCAAUGCCGCGUGAGUGAUGAAGGCCUUAGGGUUGUAAAGCUCUUUUACCCGGGAUGAUAAUGACAGUACCGGGAGAAUAAGCUCCGGCUAACUCCGUG
rnacentral:rRNA from 1 species